GGAUGUGAGAGCCAUCUGGCUGAGACAUCUCUCAUCCCAUUGGCUGCCAGGGCUGAUUCUGGUGAUCUGGACUGCUAGGAAGGUGUCCCCUUCCUCCCUCCCACUUCAUGUGCCUCCCUUCCGAGAGUCUACAUGCUCGGUAGAAGAGGGCGGCCUUCCCCAAAUAGAGGAGGGACCGGUCUUGGGUCAAGGGAGUACUGGUAGCCACGCCCCACCGCUAAACACUCCAAAUAAGCUCUCAAAUAUCAAAACUGAGCAGCGACUCUUCUGAGCUGGGGGCUGAAGCCAGGAUCUUGCGCUGGCCAGGCAAGUGCUGAGCCAGUCCCC
rnacentral:snRNA from 1 species